ensembl:lncRNA
GGGAAACUUUUUUAUUGAGAGCACUUUUUUCGGGGUGGCUUUAACUCAGGAGGUAGAGCUGGUCACCUACUGAUCGGAAGGUUGAGGUUCGAUACCUCCGGGUAUCCUUGGGCAAGAUGCUAACCCCAAGUUGCUCUCCGAUGCAUCCAUUGAAGUUUGACUGUGUGUGUGAAUGUUGUUAGCACUCAGUUUAGAGUCAGUGCUUGUGAGGAUGGGUGUGACUGGGUGAAUGUGGCAUGUUGUAUAGAGCGCUUUGAGUACUCCGGGAGAGUAGAAAAGUACGGAGCCCCGCAGGGGACAUGGGAGAAAAAAAAAUUAAGACGGACUUUUGCGAGAUCUUGCAAAACUCCAACAAUGGCGGCAGCUACUUAGUUGUAAUAUUACUCUUUCUGGGUCACAAAAUACACUUAAGAUAUUUUGAGGCGUGAAUGUAGUUGUGUAAACGUCAGAUACCUGCUCGGUUUACAAGACGUCACAUAUUUGCAAAAGUGCUCCAACGUUUUCGGAGAUCUGACACCCACUAGCUCGAAGCUAACGGGAGGUCGAGACCUACUACAGCCGGGAGGAACACCGCUUUCUGCCUCGACCUCCCGGUCGGCUUCGAGCUGGCGGCCUCCGAAGAAUGCGGCUAAAACUUUUGCGAGAUCUCGCAAAAGUCCGUCUUAAUUUUUUUUUCUCUCAUGUCCCCUGCGGGGCUCCGUAGUAAAGCGCUAUAUAAGAAUCAGUCCAUUUCUCUUCUUGUUAUUUGGCUCUAAAACAGCUGGAGACAAUUAAUCCUUUUACUGACAUUCUGAAGGUUUUUUGCAGUUUGAAAGACAGAAAAUGUAUUCAGUGCAAAUACUGUAAGUGACAGGUGUUUAAUUCUUAGAUGAUGCAGAGAAAUCAGAGACUGGGAGGCUGUGGAGGCUCAGCUGCCUCACAUUCAUAUUGAAGGUCAGACAAAAACGUCAGAGGCAUCUGCAAACAUAACUUUGACUGGGUUUCUAGCCUCCCUUUGAAAAGUGCAACUAUAAUGCAGCUCUGUUGCAUUAUAGUUGCAUAAAAACAAUUUAUUGUAGUGUUAACGUUACAAUACAAGAGCGUGAUUUGAAAUGACUGUCAGUAAUAAUGAUGAUUACGGUUUGAUUACACUAACAUGGCAGAUUUCCCCCUAAAUUACCCAGAAUGCUGUGCAACAGUUGCCAGUGACACCUCAGUAAAAAAAAAAGCAAGAAAAGACAGACGGAGUCAGACUCCUGCAGCAUCUGAAGUGCUCUCAGAUGAUUCCUCCUCUCAGGGCGAGUAGGGUGGCAGCAGACCUCUGCGAUCAUCAGACUCCGCCUGCGGGUCAAAGGUCAGACGACAUCAACAUCGGCUGUUCUGGAAAUGUUCUCAAAAACAAACAUUUAAAAUGCUUCAUACCUGAGAAUAAAGUUUUUUUCCUUGUAAAUGUUUGACUAUAAUUUUUGAUAUUUUAUGUUUUCAUGAUUUUAUUUCUCUCUUAAACCUGCAAAAGCCUCAUUAACCAAUCACAGAUCAUUUUCAGUUAAAGGGAUUCAAUGAGUUAAUAAGCUGAAUAUUUCAGGUUUCGAAUCCUUUAGGUGUGAAUAAUGGACCGUUCCAUUCCUCCGUCACUGCAGGAGGCGUAGUUACACAUUUUUGGUGAUCAGACAUCAAACCGAAACAUUUCAAUUUGUCGGCUAGUGGUGCAACGGAUCAAAAGUCUCACGGUUCGGAUCAGAUCGCGUUUUUUC